AGCUUGACUGCGAGCGUGACGGCGCGAGCAGGUGCGAAAGCAGGUCAUAGUGAUCCGGUGGUUCUGAAUGGAAGGGCCAUCGCUCAACGGAUAAAAGGUACUCCGGGGAUAACAGGCUGAUACCGCCCAAGAGUUCAUAUCGACGGCGGUGUUUGGCACCUCGAUGUCGGCUCAUCACAUCCUGGGGCUGAAGUAGGUCCCAAGGGUAUGGCUGUUCGCCAUUUAAAGUGGUACGCGAGCUGGGUUUAGAACGUCGUGAGACAGUUCGGUCCCUAUCUGCCGUGGGCGCUGGAGAACUGAGGGGGGCUGCUCCUAGUACGAGAGGACCGGAGUGGACGCAUCACUGGUGUUCGGGUUGUCAUGCCAAUGGCACUGCCCGGUAGCUAAAUGCGGAAGAGAUAAGUGCUGAAAGCAUCUAAGCACGAAACUUGCCCCGAGAUGAGUUCUCCCUGAGACUUAGAGUCUCCUGAAGGAACGUUGAAGACGACGACGUUGAUAGGCCGGGUGUGUAAGCGCAGCGAUGCGUUGAGCUAACCGGUACUAAUGAACCGUGAGGCUUAACCUU
rnacentral:rRNA from 1 species